CCUACGGGAGGCAGCAGUGGGGAAUAUUGCGCAAUGGGGGAAACCCUGACGCAGCAACGCCGCGUGAGUGAGGAAGGACUUCGGUCUGUAAAGCUCUGUUAAUGUGGAAAAAUGGUAGUUGGUCUAAUAGGCCGAUUAUUUGAUGGUACNCAUAGAGGAAGCACCGGCUAACUUCGUGCCAGCAGCCGCGGUAAUACGAAGGGUGCAAGCGUUGUUCGGAUUUAUUGGGCGUAAAGCGCGCGUAGGCGGACCUGCAAGUA
rnacentral:rRNA from 1 species